rnacentral:rRNA from 1 species
CGAACGGACCCUUCGGGGUUAGUGGCGGACGGGUGAGUAACACGUGGGAACGUGCCUUUAGGUUCGGAAUAGCUCCUGGAAACGGGUGGUAAUGCCGAAUGUGCCCUUCGGGGGAAAGAUUUAUCGCCUUUAGAGCGGCCCGCGUCUGAUUAGCUAGUUGGUGAGGUAAAGGCUCACCAAGGCUACGAUCAGUAGCUGGUCUGAGAGGAUGACCAGCCACAUUGGGACUGAGACACGGCCCAAACUCCUACGGGAGGCAGCAGUGGGGAAUCUUGCGCAAUGGGCGAAAGCCUGACGCAGCCAUGCCGCGUGAAUGAUGAAGGUCUUAGGAUUGUAAAAUUCUUUCAGUAGGGACGAUAAUGACGGUACCUACAGAAGAAGCCCCGGCUAACUUCGUGCCAGCAGCCGCGGUAAUACGAAGGGGGCUAGCGUUGCUCGGAAUUACUGGGCGUAAAGGGAGCGUAGGCGGACAUUUAAGUCAGGGGUGAAAUCCCAGAGCUCAACUCUGGAACUGCCUUUGAUACUGGGUGUCUUGAGUGUGAUAGAGGUAUGUGGAACUCCGAGUGUAGAGGUGAAAUUCGUAGAUAUUCGGAAGAACACCAGUGGCGAAGGCGACAUACUGGAUCAUUACUGACGCUGAGGCUCGAAAGCGUGGGGAGCAAACAGGAUUAGAUACCCUGGUAGUCCACGCCGUAAACGAUGAUUGCUAGUUGUCGGGUUGUUUACACUCGGUGACGCAGCUAACGCAUUAGCAUCC